rnacentral:siRNA from 1 species
UAUAGGGACUGCAUAGUCCGAGU